AAUCAACGCUGGCGGCGUGCCUCAGACAUGCAAGUCGAACGAUUAAAGCUCUCUUCGGAGAGUGUAUAAAGUGGCGCACGGGUGAGUAACACGUAAGUAAUCUACCUUCGAGUGGGGAAUAACGUCCGGAAACGGACGCUAAUACCGCAUAACGCAGCGGCAUCGCAAGAUGACAGUUGUUAAAGAUUUAUCGCUUGAAGAGGAGCUUGCGGCAGAUUAGCUUGUUGGUAAGGUAACGGCUUACCAAGGCUACGAUCUGUAUCCGGUCUAAGAGGACGGUCGGACACACUGACACUGAAUAACGGGUCAGACUCCUACGGGAGGCAGCAGUCGGGAAUUUUGGGCAAUGGGGGAAACCCUGACCCAGCAACGCCGCGUGAAGGAUGAAGUAUUUCGGUAUGUAAACUUCGAAAGAAUAGGAAGAAUUAAUGACGGUACUAUUUAUAAGGUCCGGCUAACUACGUGCCAGCAGCCGCAGUAAC
rnacentral:rRNA from 1 species